GCCGGUGUGAUGGAAUUGGUAGACGUGUCGGAUUCAAAAUCCGAUGGUGGCAACACCGUGUCGGUUCGACUCCGACCACCGGCACCA
rnacentral:tRNA from 1 species